rnacentral:rRNA from 1 species
UACGAAGGGUGCAACCGUUGCUCGGAAUCAUUGGGCGUAAAGCGCACGUAGGCGGCUCCAAAAGUCGGAUGUGAAAUCCCUGGGCUCAACCGAGGAAGUGCAUCCGAAACUGCGGAGCUUGAGUAUGGAAGAGGGUCGCGGAAUUCCCGGUGUAGAGGUGAAAUUCGUAGAUAUCGGGAGGAACACCAGUGGCGAAGGCGGCGACCUGGGCCAAUACUGACGCUGAGGUGCGAAGGCGUGGGGAGCAAACAGG